CCAGAGGCGUUUCUAUGGAUACCAAAUGUAGUCAAAUUGACCAUGGAGAGGAGCAUCACAUCCUGUGGUUGACAAUGGGCACUGUUUCUUAGUCCAGGAGUCAUUCUCCUUAAUCGAGCCAAGGACUCACUAGUUUUCAAACACAACUCAGACAAUUUACAUAGCACACUGAGUCGUGACAGUCAAAAUCCUGGCUUCUCAACCAUUUUGAUUGGUGUCUGACUCCCCCUCCCCAAAAAGAAUCGAGGCUUUCUAAAGAGAGAGCGGUUGGAAGCUUGGAACAGUUCCAGGUUGAAGGCCCGAAGCUCCAAAGUGAACGAACGACUUAAUGGGCUCCCUGGUCUCAUUGGAAGUUCAAAAGUACAGAUGAUAAAGGUUUUAUGUGUGAUGUUUUAUGACCUUGCACUCGGCACAGUCCUUGCCCAGAUGAGGUACCAAAGAGGAGGUGACCCAGAUGUGAAUCGUUUAUUUUAUGGGUCUAGACCCUGGUCCGAAGUCUGCGUAUGCUGCUUCUCUCACCUCCUACAGCUUAGAACAGCCUUUAAAACUAAUGUAGGCAAGAUGCCCAAGAACCAUUCAGUUCAAGCUGGCAGGAAGUUAGCUAGUUUAAAGG
rnacentral:lncRNA from 1 species